CGCGUAGGCGGUAAGAUGUGUGUGAUGUGAAAGCCCCGGGCUUAACCUGGGAAGUGCAUCGCAAACUAUCUAACUGGAGUAGAUGAGAGGGUGGUGGAAUUUCCGGUGUAGCGGUGAAAUGCGUAGAGAUCGGAAGGAACGUCAAUGGCGAAGGCAGCCACCUGGCAUCAUACUGACGCUGAGGCGCGAAAGCGUGGGGAGCGAACA
rnacentral:rRNA from 1 species